CCAGGCGUUCAUCAUUUGAACUAACUAGAAUCUACACUACCUGAGGAUGAUUCCAUAUAAAUGCCCCGGGUAUCACUAAUCAUAGCUUUGAAGUACUUGAAAAGAAGAUUUGAAAAGGUUUCCCUAUAUAUCCCUAUGUAAAACUUGGGUCGGCCAUUUUGGCCCCACCCUAUCCCCAGGACCGGGGGUCAUGAUUUGAAAAACUUGAAUCUACAAUACCUGAGGAUGAUUCCACAUGAGUUUCAUCUUUCCUGGCCCAUGGUUCUGGAGAAGAAGAUUUUUAAAGAUUUUUCCUAUAUAUUCCUAUGUAAAACUUGGGUCGGCCAUUUUGGCCCCACCCUUGCCCUGGGGGUCAUGAUUUGAACAAACUUGAAUCUACACUACCUGAGGAUGAUUCCACAUGAAUUUCAUCUUUCCUGGCCCAGUGGUUCUGGAGAAGAAGAUUUUUAAAGAUUUUUCCUAUAUAUUCCUAUGUAAAACUUGGGUCGGCCAUUUUGGCCCCACCCUUGCCCCGGGGGUCAUGAUUUGAACAAACUUGAAUCUACACUACCUGAGGAUGCUUCCACAUGAGUUUCAUCUUUCCUGGCCCAGCGGUUCUGGAGAAGAAGAUUUUUUAAAAAUGCCAUAAAUUAUUAACAAAUUCAUGAUUAUCUCCCCUUGGAAAAGGGCGUGGCCCUUCAUUUGAACAAACUUGAAUCCCCUUUACCCAAGAAUACUUUGUGCCAAGUUUGGUUGAAAUUGGCCCAGUGGUUCUUGAGAAGAAGAUGAAAAUGUUAAAAGUUUACAACGACAACGACGACAACGACAACGACGACAACGACAGACGACGGACAAAUUUUGAUCAGAAAAGCUCACUUGAGCCUUCGGCUCAGGUGAGCUAAAAAG